UACGUAGGGGGCAAGCGUUGUCCGGAUUUACUGGGCGUAAAGAGCGUGUAGGCGGCCACGCAGGUCCGUUGUGAAAACUGGAGGCUCAACCUCCAGCUGUCGACGGAAACCGUAUGGCUAGAGUCCGGAAGAGGAGAGUGGAAUUCCUGGUGUAGAGGUGAAAUUCGUAGAUAUUCGGAAGAACACCAGUGGCGAAGGCGGCUCACUGGCCCGGUACUGACGCUGAGGUGCGAAAGCGUGGGGAGCAAACAGG
rnacentral:rRNA from 1 species